ACAAGGUGUGUGGGUGUACGUGCCUGACAGCCUACAUGCCGGUGCAUGUAUUGUAUGUUGUACAGUAUGCACGUUUGUUGUGUGCAUGUUUUAGUGUCAUAGGUAGUUUGUUUUUCCGCUCUCUACCAUCGCAGUGUGACCUCUAGCUUCUCUGUGAUUGCCUCCUAAUUAAAAGGCAUUCAUUAAAAGAAGAAUGCACUGGGGUGCUGUUGAUGUAUGGCCAUGCCACUGUGCUCCCCAGUCCCACCCAUCUGCCCUGUCAGUCCUGUUCCUCUGGACCCUGUUCCCUGGCACAGGGCUGGCCUUCAGCUCUCCCUCUCAAUACCCAUCUCCCACCACUCUUCAUCAUCGUUUUGCCAUUGAUUGGAAUUAGAUCCAACACAGCCAAAGUUCCCAGGUUGAAUUAAACGUGGAGGAGGUAAAAACGUCAUUGACAGCCCCUGGCACUAAUUGAAGUGCUUUAUAAAAGCAAAGGAAGGGAGGAUCCUGGAGAGAAAAUGAGAUGAUCAUCAUAGAACUAAUUUGAGCUGCAAAACAGACAUGACAUUUUCCCUUUGUUUUUCUUAGCCGAGAAAAGGAUUCCCUGUUUUUUAAGGAGUGCAGUGUGUUGCACUCUCCUUCCUUCCCUGCCAUUUCUACUCAACACAUUACACGCCUCACUUUGAAGUAGACAGUAGCCAUGCAAGGGUGUAUUAAAACCUUUAGGGGUUAUACAGAUAACGUACCAUUGCAUAAUUUUUGUUUUGUUUUGUGCUUUUUUUCAACAUGUCUGCCUUUGACUCACUCUCUGUCUAGUGUGGAGUUUAGUAAUCUCCUUGAGCCUUGUUUACACCUGCUCUAUCUCUGGCCAAUGACAAUGACUAUCUCUAGCUCUGGCCAAUGACAAUGACUAUCUCUAGGUCUGGCCAAUGACAAUGACUAUCUCUAGGUCUGGCCAAUGACAAUGACUAUCUCUAGGUCUGGCCAAUGACAAUGACUAUCUCUAGGUCUGGCCAAUGACAAUGACUAUCUCUAGGUCUGGCCAAUGACAAUGACUAUCUCUAGGUCUGGCCAAUGACAAUGACUAUCUCUAGGUCUGGCCAAUGACAAUGACUAUCUCUAGGUCUGGCCAAUGACAAUGACUAUCUCUAGGUCUGGCCAAUGACAAUGACUAUCUCUAGGUCUGGCCAAUGACAAUGACUUUCUCUAGGUCUGGCCAAUGACAAUGACUAUCUCUAGGUCUGGCCACUGACAAUGAAUAUCUCUAGGUCUGGCCAAUGACAAUGACCAUAUCUAGGUCUGGCCAAUGACAAUGACUAUCUCUAGGUCUGGCCAAUGACAAUGACUAUCUCUAGGUCUGGCCAAUGACAAUGACUAUCUCUAGGUCUGGCCAAUGACAAUGACUAUCUCUAGGUCUGGCCAAUGACAAUGACUAUCUCUAGGUCUGGCCAAUGACAAUGACUAUCUCUAGGUCUGGCCAAUGACAAUGACUAUCUCUAGGUCUGGCCAAUGACAAUGACUAUUCCCUUUAUUUAUAUGUUGUUAUUUCCUGUGACACCACCAGGUAAAGACUCUGGACCCAGUAUACUAAGGCCCUCAGGUUCUCCUAGUUCAGGUCAUGUGUUCAGGAUAAACUCAUGUCUUUACGCUCAUGUCAUACAUGUUGAAAGUUAAACAUAAAAAGUAAAGGGGAAGGGAAGUGUUGAG